rnacentral:rRNA from 1 species
UACAGAGGGGGCAAGCGUUGUUCGGAAUUACUGGGCGUAAAGAGCUCGUAGGCGGUGUGUCACGUCGGCCGUGAAAACCUGCAGCUUAACUGUGGGCGUGCGGUCGAUACGGGCAUCACUGGAGUUCGGCAGGGGAGACUGGAAUUCCUGGUGUAGCGGUGAAAUGCGCAGAUAUCAGGAGGAACACCGGUGGCGAAGGCGGGUCUCUGGGCCGAUACUGACGCUGAGGAGCGAAAGCGUGGGGAGCAAACAGG